GGAUACGCCUUCGGUUGUAACCUCUUUACCAGGAAGAACGAAAGGACGGUCCUGCAGAAAAACCCCGGCUAACUACGUGCCAGCAGCCGCGGUAAUACGUAGGGUGCAAGCGUUAUCCGGAAUUAUUGGGCGUAAAGAGCUCGUAGGCGGUUUGUCGCGUCUGCUGUGAAUCCCGAGGCUCAACUUCGGGCUUGCAGUGGGUACGGGCAGACUAGAGUGCGGUAGGGGAGAUUGGAAUUCCUGGUGUAGCGGUGGAAUGCGCAGAUAUCAGGAGGAACACCGAUGGCGAAGGCAGAUCUCUGGGCCGUAACUGACGCUGAGGAGCGAAAGGGUGGGGAGCAAACAGGCUUAGAUACCCUGGUAGUCCACCCCGUAAACGUUGGGAACUAGUUGUGGGGUCCUUUCCACGGAUUCCGUGACGCAGCUAACGCAUUAAGUUCCCCGCCUGGGGAGUACGGCCGCAAGGCUAAAACUCAAAGGAAUUGACGGGGACCCGCACAAGCGGCGGAGCAUGCGGAUUAAUUCGAUGCAACGCGAAGAACCUUACCAAGGCUUGACAUACACGAGAACGGGCCAGAAAUGGUCAACUCUUUGGACACUCGUGAACAGGUGGUGCAUGGUUGUCGUCAGCUCGUGUCGUGAGAUGUUGGGUUAAGUCCCGCAACGAGCGCAACCCUCGUUCUAUGUUGCCAGCACGUAAUGGUGGGAACUCAUGGGAUACUGCCGGGGUCAACUCGGAGGAAGGUGGGGAUGACGUCAAAUCAUCAUGCCCCUUAUGUCUUGGGCUUCACGCAUGCUACAAUGGCCGGUACAAUGGGCUGCGAUACCGUAAGGUGGAGCGAAUCCCAAAAAGCCGGUCCCAGUUCGGAUUGAGGUCUGCAACUCGACCUCAUGAAGUCGGAGUCGCUAGUAAUCGCAGAUCAGCAACGCUGCGGUGAAUACGUUCCCGGGUCUUGUACACACCGCCCGUCAAGUCAUGAAAGUCGGUAACACCUGAAGCCGGUGGCCUAACCCUUGUGGAGGGAGCCGUCGAAGGUGGACUGAAU
rnacentral:rRNA from 1 species